CAACUUCUAAAUGUCAAGUGUGUGAUUUCAGUGGAGAGAGGUUGCUGAAAAUAAUAGAAUUUUGGAUAUCAUUUUUCUUUUUUGUUUCGCCUUCCUUUUUUCCAUAGAGUAGUCUGUUCAAUCGAUUUGGAAUUCUUGUUCCAAGCGAGCUGUCAGUUGGAACGGUCAGAUUCACGAACGGACCGACUGCAAACGCUGGGGCGUCAGAGGGGAAGGGAAAAUAAAAAGGCUGCCACUAACAUGCUCAGUGGGAGGCUAGUACCACAAAGUGUAAUAGAUUUCUUGAUGGGCCUGCCUUAAAAUCAGAGCAAUUUUGGUUGAUCACAGACUACAGAAAUAUAUGUGCACCUCAGGUGUAUUUUGGGGGCAAUGUUGCAACUUGCAUGGAUUCUUUUUCUCCUCGAGAGAAGUUAAAGGGUAUGCUCAGCAAGGCAGUAACAUGACAUGCCAAGAAUACAAUCAACAUUUUAGCGGCAAUAUCAUUUCCCAAGCAAACCCUGGAGUUGAGUUUAUCCACAUCAUUCUGUAGACCAUCCAUCGUUUUGUUCUGCCUGCAAUUCCAAUAUGCACAAGUACAAAAACAUUCAACAGGGCACACAUGCACAUAGCCGACAAGAUGAAAUGGAUUAAUCGUUGUAAAUUUCACACUCAGAAGAUUCCUUUUAGUUAAAUUUUCUCUUAGGGAGUGUCAAGAAAGUUCUCAUAAAUGAAUACUUGCAGAUUAUGAAUAGAUGGUUCGUAACCUUUAUUGAUUUAUUUAGUCACUAUACUUGGCUUUAUCUGUUAAAACGCAAAAAUGAUGUGUUCUUUUGUUUUCAAAGAUUUAUAUGCUCUUAUUCAAAACCAAUUUGGUUUGCGUUCUGACAACGGCAUCGAAUAUGUUAACCAGGAGUUUGGGUUGUUUCUUGCCUCUCAUGCCAUUGAACAUCAAACUAUCUGUGUGUAUCACUCCUAAACAGAAUGGUAUCGCGGAACGUAAAAAUCGACAUUUGCUUGAGGUUGCUCUCUCUCUCUCAUGUUUAUAAUGAAUGUGCCUAAGUUUCUUUGGGGAGAGGCAACUAAAACUGCGACCUACCUAAAAAAUUGUAUGCCAUCCCGUAUUCUUGAUUAUAAGACUCGCCCUGAAUGUCUCUUGAAAACAAAUGAAUUUUUGGUCUCUCCAAAGGUCUUUGGGUGUGUUUGCUUUGUUCAUGAUUAUAGAAACUCUGUUGGAAAACUUGACCCUCGUGCAAUCAAGUGCGUGUUUAUGGGCUAUUCUUCGUCUUAAAAGGGUUAUAGAUGUUGGUGUCCCUGAGAGCGUCAUUUCUUUGUCAGUAUGGAUGUGACAUUCCGUGAGCAUGAAUCUUAUUAUGGCCCUACCAAUGACACUGGAAUUACACUGUCUCCACCUGAAGUGCAACAAGAGGGGGAGUGUAAUAGUAGAGGCGCUGAAACUCUUAUGGGCCCUAUCCUUGUUCCCACUUCAGGUGUACCAUGCAUUGAUAAUAAUAUUUCUAGUCCGGGGGAGCAUACAAAUGAUGCAAAUGGUGGUAGUGAUAAUAAUUCUAGCCAGAGAGACAUGCAGGUUGCAACUGAGAACUCAUCACUACCUUCACAAGAUGUGGAGUCUUUGAUGCAUGAGGACCCAGGUACCAACCUACACUUUCUUAGUCCAGUUUCUCCUACUAGCACAACAAGUCAAGGUGAUAAUCAAUUGACUACUCUUGAUCCUCAGAAUGAGUUGCCGAUUGCUCUUAGAAAACCAACUAGAUCCUCAAAUAUCCCACCACACCUAAAAUACUAUAUUGGAUAUAAAAAUAAUAUUGCCAAUUUCAUUUCUUAUAAACAUUGCAGCCAGUCCUUCCAAAGUCUUAUUACCUCUCUUGAUUCUGUACCUGUACCUACUAACUGGAAAGAAGCUAAAGAGGAUCCAAAGUAGAAGGAAGCAAUGCUAGAAGAGAUGAGAGCUUUGGAGAAGAACAAUACAUGGGAGCUUGUUGAUCUACCACCAGUUAAGAAAUCUAUAGGUUGUAAGUGGAUUUGCACGGUUAAACAUACUCCAGAAGGCAAGGUGGAAAGGUACAAAGCUAGUCUUGUUGCAAAAGGAUAUACACAAACAUAUGGGAUUCAUUAUGAUGAGACUUUGCACCAGUGGCUAAAAUGAAUUCAAUCCCAACACUUCUAUCUUGUGCGAUCAAUCUUGAUUGGAACAUUUACCAGAUGGAUGUAAAAAAUGCCUUCCUACAUGGUGAUCUUCAUGAGGAGGUGUAUAUGCACAUACCACCUGGGUUUGAGACCGCGAAAACCAAUGGAAAAGUGCUUCGCUUGCAUCGCUCCUUGUAUGGGCUGAAACAAUCACCUCGAUCUUGAUUUGAUAGGUUUCGACGAGCAAUGCUCAAGAAAGGUUAUUGUCAAAGCAACGCUGGCCACACCUUGUUUUACAAGUGUGAAAUGGGUAAGAUUGCCAUCCUUAUUAUGUAUGUGGAUGAUAUUGUGAUCACCGGAGAUUAUUAUGGACAAAUUUCCCACUUAAAGGGUCACCUUGCACAUGAGUUUGAAGUUAAAAGAUCUAGGGAAUCUGAGAUACUUUCUUGGAAUAGAAGUUUCCAGAGGGCCAAAAGGUAUCUUCCUCUCCCAAAGGAAAUAUGUUCUGGAUUUAUUUCGUGAGGCCGGUAUGCUUGGAUGUCGGCCUGUUAGCACUCCAAUUGAGCAAAGCCAUCGCUUGAUAGGUAACAUGGGAAGGCCAGUAGACUGGGAGUGCUAUGAAAAGAUGGUCAGGAAGCUUAUAUAUUUGUCUGAUACUCGAUCGGAUAUUGCAUUUGCUGUGAGCAUGGUCAGUCAGUUUAUGCACGACCCACGCUCAUCUCAUAUGGAUGCUGUUACUCAAAUCUUGCGCUACUUAAAGGGGUGUCCUGGAAAAGGUUUGUUAUAGACUCGUCAAGGAAGCCUUCAAGUUGAGUGCUAUACUGAUGCUGAUUGGGCUGGCUCACUCGAUGAUCGACGAUCAACUUCUGGGUAUUGCACAUUUGUUGGUGGAAACUUAAUCUCGUGGCGCAACAAGAAACAAACACUGGUCGCUAGGUCUACUGCAGAAGCCGAAUUUCGAUCUAUGGCACACGGUGUGUGUGAAGUGUUAUGGUUGAAGAUACUUCUCACAAAGCUCAGGCUAUUCCAAGGUAUGCCAUUAAUGUUGUACUGUGAUAACAAGGCGGCUAUUGAUAUUGCAAAUAUUCCAGUCCAACAUGAUCGAACUAAGCAUGUGGAGAUUGAUCGUCAUUUUAUUAAGAAGAAGUUGAACAGAGGGAUAAUAUGCAUGCCAUAUGUGAGUUCGUCUAGCCAAGUCGUUGCUGAUGUUCUUACAAAAGGAUUGCUGAAAAAUCUUUUUCUGUCUUCUGUAACAAGAUGGGUCUUUAUGAUGUACUAGAUAAAUGUCCGUGCUCCGCUACGAAAUUGAGAAUUUGUAUUAUGCA